GUCCAUUUGAAGAUGUAAAUGGUCUGGCCUGCUCACUGAUAAAAUUAUUUAAGAGCCGCGGUAUAUUGACCGUGCAAAGGUAGCAUAAUCAUUAGGGGUUUAAUUGGAACCUGGAAUGAAGGGUUGGACAAAGGAAAAACUGUCUUUAUGGUGAAAUUUGAAAUUUACCUUUAAGUGAAAAGGCUUAAAUGUUUCAGGGGGACGAUAAGACCCUAUAAAGCUUUAUAAAUAAUUUAGAUUUAGUUGAUUUAUACUUAUAAUAGUUAAGUUUAAUUAUUUUAUUUUAUUGGGGUGAUAUGAGUACAAUUAUUGUAACUGCUUAGUAGUAGUUCUGUUAUAGUAGAAUUAAACAAGUGAAUGAUCCUUAGAUUAAGAUUAUAAGACUAAGUUACUUUAGGGAUAACAGCGUUAUUUUUCUUGAGAGUUCUUAUUGAAAGAGAAGAUUGCGACCUCGAUGUUGAAUUAAAAUAUCUAUAUGAUGCAGCAGUCAUAAAAGAGGGUCUGUUCGACCUUUAAAUUUUUACAUGAUUUGAGUUCAGACCGGCGUGAG
rnacentral:rRNA from 1 species